UCCCAGCACUGCAGACUGCUCAUGCUGGACCAGAGUGCUGGAGGGGGGUGGGGGGAGGUACCCCCAGAGAGCAGGGGUUCUGGAGUCAGCAACGGCUAGGUUCAAAUCCUCGGUGCACCACUCACCGGCCAUGUGACUCUCUGGACUCAGUUUCCACAUACGUAAAACUGAGGUAGAAACUGCCAUCUUGCAGGGUGUUCGACAGGACGGGCAGCAAGACAUAAAUUCAAUAUAAAUUCCCAGGCAUACAGCAGUUGCAAAUAGUUGCUGAGCAAACAGUGGUUUGCUGUUAUUACUAGUUUUACCGAUGCCAGCCAGAAAAUCUUUCGUUUUCAAAGUUUUAUAUCUUUAAAGUGAAUUCAUCUCUAACUACUUUGGCUCUGUAAGUUUCCAGUUUGUUUCCUUAAAGCAGAGAGUACCUACAUUGAAUUAAUGCAUCUCCACUAGAGUUUGCCUCUGAACGAUUACAUGGAUAUGUGACGGAGGUUAUAAUAAGCUCCUGGAGAACGAAUGUCAUUCCAAAUACCCUUCUGUAGAUUCAAAAACACCUUGCACCACACUGAGCCUGAUAAACACUUGCUGAAAUCAUGAAUGAAAAAUCCGCCACUUGGUAUCAUGUAGAGAAAUGGGUCACUAACCUAUCCUCCUAUUAACCACAACCUAAACUUCAACUCAACUUAUUCCUACUCAAAACACUACCUUCUGGGACACCUGGCUGGCUCAGUCAGUGCAGCAUGCCACUCCUGAUCUCAAGAGUUGUGAGAUCGAGCCCCAGGCUGGGCAUAGAGAUUACUUUCAAAAUAAAACCCUUAAAAACAAACAAACAAACGAAAAAACAAACUACCUUCCUUCCUUUCUCUCCACAUGCCUCAUGAGAAUUAUCUCCAGACUCCACUGAGUCCUAAAUCACCUCCCUUCUUUGGAUGUCUGAAGCAUUUAUUGAUUAUAUUACCAUGUGGGCACUUAAUACAACAAUGCCUUGGACUCUUAACUGUUUCACGCAGAUAGUUUAUACAUCUCCAAGUAUGUUAGAAGCUUCUGGAUGACAGGAACUGUGUUUAUGGAUUUUUUUUUUUAAGUAUCUCCCUAUCCUGGCACAUAAGUGAGUAAGUGACCUCUAUAAAGUGUGUAUUUCAGGGCCUGGCACCAAAUACGAGCCUGAAAACGUAAGCUUAAAAAUAAGUAGAUACUCAAUAAACACUUGGCAAACUGACUAAGAACGAACUGUGUGAAACGCUCCCAAGACAUCAGUGUGCCAGGCCCUAAUUGGUAUUUACUGGCGGGUACAUUUUUGAGUCUUGACAAGCCAUGCAAAAACAACUCACAGACUUGAAUUAUUUGGGGAGUGAAAACGGAACAUGGGACUACGUUAGCUACGAUUUCCUUCCUUCUUCCCGUCACUUCUAAUAAUGUAAAUGUUUGGCUUAACAUCACAUCUGUAAGCGGGUACCUAGCUGGCACCGGGGAUGAAAGUGCCCCCCUAGCUGGCCGGAGCUGACUGGGUGGCUCGGUUGGUUGAGCAUCUGAGUCUUGAUUUCUGCUCAGGUCAUGAUCUCACGGUUUGUAAGAUCGAGCCCCUCAGCGGGGCCGGAGCCGUGAACACGGGGCCUGCUGAGAACUCUCUCUCUCUCUCUCCCCCCCACCUUGCACCUCCCCAGCUUGCACAUGUGCAUGCUCUCUCUCGCUCUCUCAAAAUAAACUUUAAAAAGAAAGUCAGAAAAGUGCAUGUGGACUCAUGGGCCAUCAUGGUGGAGGAACCACAGGGAGAGCAGCCGAAUUUGACAAUGAGGAAGUAAGCUGACGCCCAGGGAGACAGUGACUUGCCCAAGGUCACACAUCAACUGGCCCAAGUUAACCUUGAGGGACCUACCUCACUUCCUCCCACCCUCCAGCCCAGCUGACCUCCCCUCGGCCUCUGAAUGUCUCCCAUCCAUGCGAGGGUGCUUUGUUAUUUCUUCCAUGGCAACCGUAACCUCACAAAGCAGAGCUGAACUCCUCCACCCCUUGCAAGGACAGAAGGGCUGAGAGAUUUCUAUAUUGUCGGGGUUUUUUUAAUCUCAAACAGAAGUUAAUUGUCGGGUUCAGACCAAAAAGAGCCAGUGACACCUCACCCCCAG